rnacentral:rRNA from 1 species
UACAGAGGGCGCAGGCGUUAAUCGGAAUUACUGGGCGUAAAGCGUGCGUAGACGGUUGCGUAAGUCAGAUGUGAAAGCCCCGGGCUCAACCUGGGAAUUGCAUUUGAGACUGCGUAGCUAGGGUGCGGAAGAGGGAAGCGGAAUUUCCGGUGUAGCGGUGAAAUGCGUAGAUAUCGGAAGGAACACCAGUGGCGAAAGCGGCUUCCUGGUCCAGCACCGACGUUCAGGCACGAAAGCGUGGGGAGCAAACAGG